AUACGAAGGGGGCAAGCGUUGUUCGGAAUACCUGGGCGUAAAGCGCACGUAGGCGGAAUGUUAAGUUAGAGGUGAAAUCCCAGGGCUCAACCCUGGAACGGCCUUUAAUACUGGCAAUCUAGAGACCGAGAGAGGUGAGUGGAAUUCCGAGUGUAGAGGUGAAAUUCGUAGAUAUUCGGAGGAACACCAGUGGCGAAGGCGGCUCACUGGCUCGGUACUGACGCUGAGGUGCGAAAGCGUGGGGAGCAAACAGGAUUAGAAACCCUAGUAGUCC
rnacentral:rRNA from 1 species